AAUUAAGACAGCAGUGAAGAAAGAGAAUGUAGCUGGAGUAGCAAAAGGAGCAGAGGCUUGGGUCAGGAGACCGUGGUUCUGACCGUGGCUGCUGUCACAGGUUGCAAAGCCUACGACGAGCAGCCUAACUCCUCCGGCUCUCAGUUUCCACACCCGUGAAAAGCGUGGAUGAUGAAACCACCUCUACCACUGAACUCUCGCAACCCACCCACAGCCGUAAGUGUCCAUGCCUUCGUGCCUUUGCGGGAAGGUCCCUCUGCCAGAGGCUUGUGAUCCUUCAAGACUCAGCAGGUCCCACAGGGAGGGAACUGAGAGUUGGGGGAAGCCGGCCAAACGAUCUUCUGCGUGGGGAACAUUUGCUGAUGCUUCCAGUGCUCAGAGAUCGGUGACUCCCCGGUGGACCAUGCCAAGCUCUUUUCCCUUCAUUUCUGAGGCCCGCGGUGCAGUUGAAAGAAAAACUACUCCAUGUGUUUCUGAUCCAUCUCCGCACAGCUCAUCCGAAGUUUGGAUUUUAAGCGUUCGUAGAUAUGCAUGAUGCUUUUGGAGUCUGCUUUACAAGCCUUCCACGCUUUCAUUUCUAUUGUGAGAGGAAGCUGAGCGUUGCCAAGAGUAAACGAGUUGGCGUCGCAGAAGGUUCACGUUGGGUCUGUAGCACUGAAGCCCUAAGGCUUGAGUGGAAGCCAGAUGCACCCAGAGAGGACGCUUUCUUUGGAGGGGCUGAAGCCAUUAUCCGUUCAGCCUCUGCACGUCCCAUGCGCGCUCACUACAGAUCCCCUUGGGCUUUGCCACGUUAAGAUACAAUCUAACACUGCCAAGAGGCUCUCAUCGGUCAUGGGUGAUCUUUGGGGGGUGGGGGAAAGGGUCUCCAAAGCUGACAGGGUGAAUCACUUCCCACACUGUUAACACGUCAGCGCCACAGCUAGUGAGGUGCAGAGCAGGGCAGCAUGACUGGGGAUCCGGAUUCCUCUGCUUCCAAAUUAGUAUUAGUAGCCCAGAAGAAGAAUGGAAGGAAACAUGGUCUUUCUGGAGAGCCACGCACUAGGGAAGGAAAGAAGGAGGUAGAGCAAGUUACAUCCUUCCAAUAAAACACUUCAGGAAUAGCA
rnacentral:lncRNA from 1 species